rnacentral:lncRNA from 1 species
AUUAAUAUAAUCCACACUAAAAAUUUGUAUGCACUUCUUAAAUGAAACAUUAUAAAUAGAUGCUAAUUGAUUAACAGUAUUUCAAACUAAAAAGUACUGAUGUCCAUGUUUUCACUCUUAAAUUAGAAAAAAAAAAUAUUUCAAAAUUGGUAUUUCAAAAUGUACUGUUUGUGUUGAUAAAGGCAUGUUUGCGUUGUGGACC